ensembl:lncRNA
UUCCGUAGCUAUAGCUGCAGACGUUUUCUUCCUGCAGCACGAUGCACCGCUCUUGCCAUUGCAGGAGCUUCAGACGUUGGUUACACCGUGGUCUCUCCCCUCCUACAUCCCACACCAGGUGUUUCACCUCCUGACGGUUGAAAUGUUUUAAUCUCACACACGUUACUUGGCUCAGCGUGGGCAGAGCCUGACACCACAGAGAUGGGGGCGAGGGAACUAGCGAUCCCUUCUGGCUUUAAAUUCUAUUAAGUGAUUUGUCAGGAUGAAUAUUGCCCUAGUAAUCAACAGCAUCACUCAGUGCAGGAGAUGGACUUUCCCUAGAGGUCGACCAUUGCAUAGAUAUUUUUGCAGCGUUAUAGCUUGGUGGUAGUACAAGUGCCUCAAGCGGAUGCGCUGUGUCAGUAGAGGGAGCUUCGUGCCCUGAUUCAGCUCACCCUGCUAAUUAUGGGAGCAAAAUCUCACGGAUAUGAUCCCUCCUUUGUUCUGGUUCUGUAGCUCUAGGGUGGAAGAGGCUUCCAGACCCUGUUGCGUUUGUGGGAGCCCAAACUGCAGAGCUGUGCUGGGAUGUAGGGACUUUAGGGAAGCUGUCUUUGUUCUCUGCCUAGGCAAGAGGAGCCCUUCUGAGGCUGGUCGUGCUUUUGUUUUGUUUUGUGGUAGCUUAUAUCUCUAACCUGGCUUGAAACAAAGCAUCUCAGGCUCUUCAGUCCCCAAUACUGCACUUGCAGGAGAAAAUGAGCAUGUAUUUAGCUUGCAUCAAGCUGGAGCUAAGACGAACACAGGCCAAGUGGGUGUCUCAGUAGGAAGCAAUAAUGUGCUAUUUGCUGAUGUCAGACCUGCCUGAAACCUUCUGUGGGAGAUGGGAGAAGGACAGCACAGCUGCCAACAGGGUCUCCCAGCCUUGGAGAGCAGAACAAGCCCAGCGCUGCCUGGAGCAAGGCAAGGACAGGCUGCUUUGAAGAGGAGCCCUCCACACAUAAUGGCAGGUUCUGCUGCAUCCAGGAAGAACAGCUGCCCCCCUUGGACAGAAAUAAAACCCAAAAAGCGUAUCAAGAAGGCAGACACGGGAGCAGAUGAUUGCCUAGGGCAAGAGAGCAGCUCCAGCUGCCUCUCUGCAGCAGGCGUCAUCAGUGUGCUUUGAAGAGCUCCGGUCGCAUCCCCACACUGUGAGCGCCUAAGCUAAGAGAAGGAGCGUGUGGGAGGCAGUCCAGCCUUUUCUGAGAUAAGUUUGAAAUAUCUCAUUGGAGCCCAAAGCCUGCAGCAAAAAACUUUCCAGAUGGCCUUCAAAUGGAUCCUGCGUGAGGUUAUAGCUACAUUGCCAUGCCUGGCCCCCGUCUAAGCCUGUGCAGCCGGCAGUAGACUGGCCAUGGUGACGUGGAGCUCAAAGCUAGCGUCCUACAGAGGCUGGAGAAGGAGUAACUGUCUCCCCCCCAGUGAGUGACAUGGCAGGACCACAUGCUUGCCCUGCUUGGUUUACGGCUGGGCUUUUUGCUCUUGGCAGACCCUUGCCGUUUCUAAGAUGAAUCUUCCUUCCUAGUGUGUCUCAAGUGCAGUAAAAAGGGUAAGCAGAAAACUUGCUAACCUGCGGGCUGUUUCCCAUUUGCUGAUGCAGCCGGUGCUUGCUUUCGUUUUCCCAGCCCUCAAAAUCCAGUGUUUCCUGUGCUAGUCCUCCACACCCUUCUGGGUGCAGCCCAGCAUGGAUUUUUUGGGGCUGCUUACCAUGAAGUUGAUCAUGCUGAACUCUCCCGUUUCAAUCAGGGAAGAAAAGUACUUUUACUGCUUGAGUAUGGUAUUUUAAACCCGAGGUCCUUCCGCUGCAGCUCAUCACACAGGUGAAACUGCAUUCUUCCACGCUGACAAAGAAAAUUGGGCCCCCAAAUCCAAGGAGAGACUCGAAUCACAUCCUUCAAGUUGGAAGAAAUUGCUGCCUUAGGCAGAUAACGAUGUGAGGAAGAGACAUCAUUACGAAAUGAAUCAUUUUCACUCGCUCAUAGCAAGAAGACGGGCUGUUCGGUCAGCGACAGAUUUUCUCUUAGCCCUUGACUUGUUAAGUUGGGGUACUUCUGGGAUUUCGAUCCAUCUGAACAAGAGCCGUGCGUUUCAAGCCCCUUUGAGAAGCCAUCAAAGUCCAUGGAGAGGAC